rnacentral:rRNA from 1 species
CCCUUAGAGUUUGAUCCUGGCUCAAGACGAACGUUGGCGGCGCGCCUAACACAUGCAAGUCGAACGAGAGAUGAAGAGCUUGCUCUUCAAAUCGAGUGGCGAACGGGUGAGCAACGCGUGAGGAACCUGCCUCAAAGAGGGGGACAACAGUUGGAAACGACUGCUAAUACCGCAUAAGCCCACAGCUCGGCAUCGAGCAGGGGGAAAAGGAGUGAUCCGCUUUGAGAUGGCCUCGCGUCCGAUUAGCUAGUUGGUGAGGUAACGGCCCACCAAGGCGACGAUCGGUAGCCGGACUGAGAGGUUGAACGGCCACAUUGGGACUGAGACACGGCCCAGACUCCUACGGGAGGCAGCAGUGGGGAAUAUUGCACAAUGGGGGAAACCCUGAUGCAGCGACGCCGCGUGGAGGAAGAAGGUCUUCGGAUUGUAAACUCCUGUUGUUGAGGAAGAUAAUGACGGUACUCAACAAGGAAGUGACGGCUAACUACGUGCCAGCAGCCGCGGUAAAACGUAGGUCACAAGCGUUGUCCGGAAUUACUGGGUGUAAAGGGAGCGCAGGCGGGAGAACAAGUUGGAAGUGAAAUCCAUGGGCUCAACCCAUGAACUGCUUUCAAAACUGUUUUUCUUAAGUAGUGCAGAGGUAGGCGGAAUUCCCGGUGUAGCGGUGGAAUGCGUAGAUAUCGGGAGGAACACCAGUGGCGAAGGCGGCCUACUGGGCACCAACUGACGCUGAGGCUCGAAAGUGUGGGUAGCAAACAGGAUUAGAUACCCUGGUAGUCCACACUGUAAACG